AUACGGAGGGGGCUAGCGUUGUUCGGAAUUACUGGGCGUAAAGCGCGCGUAGGCGGCUUAUCAAGUUAGGCGUGAAAGCCCGGGGCUCAACCCCGGAAUUGCAUUCAAAACUGGCAAGCUAGAGUCCGGGAGAGGGUGGCGGAAUUCCCAGUGUAGAGGUGAAAUUCGUAGAUAUUGGGAAGAACACCAGUGGCGAAGGCGGCCACCUGGCCCGGUACUGACGCUGAGGUGCGAAAGCGUGGGGAGCAAACAGGAUUAGAUACCCCGGUAGUCC
rnacentral:rRNA from 1 species